rnacentral:lncRNA from 1 species
AAAACGAUGUUAGACAAUAUAAUAAUUUUAAAACAACUCGUGCUUUAUUUAAAACCUUCAAAAUACGAUGCUAUAUUUUCAUCAUUAUAUUUUUGGCCGGACAAAUAGCGAAAAACCGUAAAAAUGCUAUUUGUCCGGCUUGCCGGAUGAAUAGACAUUUUUGACUAUUUGUCCAGCUAGCCGGACGAAUAGCCACUGACUGAUUAAUAAGUUAUCUAUUUCUGUUUAAUAUCACUCUAUUUCUGUUUAAUAUCACUCUAUCAUAAACAUCUUUAAUAUUUAAAUAUACUAUUUAUUCUUAUCUUGCAAAUAAAAUAUAUUUGUUAACUAUUAAACCUUUUUGAACAACUAGACUAAUACAUGAAAUAGCAAUGAUAUAGAAAAAAAUACUGUAAGAUGGUAUAUUAUAUGGAUGGAAGAUUUUGCUUUCAGAUGUGUUAAAAGGUUUCUCAAAAGUUCACAUAACGGCAAAAACUCUUACUUUGCAAGGUAAUGGUACACUACUUUGAAAGUUAAUCAACCAUAAACUUUACACUGCAAAUACAUGCUAUUCCUUGCAUUCAUUCAGAUAAGCAAAUAAUAAAUACAUCUGCACAAAUUCAGACAAAACAGAAAAAUUCUAUAUUUCAUAACAUUUUAAUCAUUUUACAUUCUAAAAAAAAAAUAAACGUAAUAAUGACAAAUCAGAAUAUGUCUUGAAAAAAAUAAGCCUCAUUUUUUUUAGAUUUGAAAAUUUAUCUACCCCCAGUGGUAGAAUCUAUAUGGAUUUAUUUUAAGGGAAACUUUAAUUCUUAAUACUUAUGACAUACAUAAGAGAAUCAUCUUUCAGACCUAUAUAUAAGCAUUAGCCUAGUGAAAUUUAUCUUGACACAUACAAGAGAAAUACACACAGUAUAAAUAUGUGUUUAUAAACAAAUGAUGAAAGAAGUAUAUAAAAUAAAUUUAUACA